AGUAGGUGGGGUAACGGCUCACCUAGGCGACGAUCCCUAGCUGGUCUGAGAGGAUGACCAGCCACACUGGAACUGAGACACGGUCCAGACUCCUACGGGAGGCAGCAGUGGGGAAUAUUGCACAAUGGGCGCAAGCCUGAUGCAGCCAUGCCGCGUGUAUGAAGAAGGCCUUCGGGUUGUAAAGUACUUUCAGCGGGGAGGAAGGGAGUAAAGUUAAUACCUUUGCUCAUUGACGUUACCCGCAGAAGAAGCACCGGCUAACUCCGUGCCAGCAGCCGCGGUAAUACGGAGGGCGCAAGCGUUAAUCGGAAUUACUGGGCGUAAAGCGCACGCAGGCGGUUUGUUAAGUCAGAUGUGAAAUCCCCGGGCUCAACCUGGGAACUGCAUCUGAUACUGGCAAGCUUGAGUCUCGUAGAGGGGGGUAGAAUUCCAGGUGUAGCGGUGAAAUGCGUAGAGAUCUGGAGGAAUACCGGUGGCGAAGGCGGCCCCCUGGACGAAGACUGACGCUCAGGUGCGAAAGCGUGGGGAGCAAACAGGAUUAGAUACCCUGGUAGUCCACGCCGUAAACGAUGUCGACUUGGAGGUUGUGCCCUUGAGGCGUGGCUUCCGGAGCUAACGCGUUAAGUCGACCGCCUGGGGAGUACGGCCGCAAGGUUAAAACUCAAAUGAAUUGACGGGGGCCCGCACAAGCGGUGGAGCAUGUGGUUUAAUUCGAUGCAACGCGAAGAACCUUACCUGGUCUUGACAUCCACGGAAGUUUUCAGAGAUGAGAAUGUGCCUUCGGGAACCGUGAGACAGGUGCUGCAUGGCUGUCGUCAGCUCGUGUUGUGAAAUGUUGGGUUAAGUCCCGCAACGAGCGCAACCCUUAUCCUUUGUUGCCAGCGGUCCGGCCGGGAACUCAAAGGAGACUGCCAGUGAUAAACUGGAGGAAGGUGGGGAUGACGUCAA
rnacentral:rRNA from 1 species